GUGAGGAAUAUUGGUCAAUGGGCGAGAGCCUGAACCAGCCAAGUCGCGUGAAGGAAGAAGGAUCUAUGGUUCGUAAACUUCUUUUGCAGGGGAAUAAAGUGCGGGACGUGUCCUGUUUUGUAUGUACCCUGAGAAUAAGGAUCGGCUAACUCCGUGCCAGCAGCCGCGGUAAUACGGAGGAUCCGAGCGUUAUCCGGAUUUAUUGGGUUUAAAGGGUGCGUAGGUGGUUUGAUAAGUCAGCGGUGAAAGUUUGCAGCUUAACUGUAAAAAUGCCGGUGAAACUGUCGGACUUGAGUGUAAAUGAGGUAGGCGGAAUGCGUGGUGUAGCGGUGAAAUGCAUAGAUAUCACGCAGAACUCCGAUUGCGAAGGCAGCUUACUAAGCUACAACUGACACUGAAGCACGAAAGCGUGGGGAUCAAACAGGAUUAGAAACCCCAGUAGUCC
rnacentral:rRNA from 1 species